AUCACUUCAGGGGACUGAACCACUGACAAUUUGUGGCUCAUUCUGUUGAUGUGCUUU
ensembl:miRNA